GUUGGUAGAACGGAGACAGCUGCAAGCCGCGAGGAAAGAGUUAGAGGAGCAACAAAAGGACGUAGAACAACAGAGGGAACGACUGUACCGACGACUGGAGCGACUGCAGCAACACGGUGGAUCACAGGAAGAAAUUGCGAGUGUCGGGACGUUGUCGCCUGAUUCGAGUGUCAGCGAUACGAAUAGACGGAAAGAACCAAAGUGGAGAACCAGCCGCGGCUCGUCGUCGUCGGAGAGCGCGUGCGCGCCGCCGCAGCUGCUGUCGGCGCACAACGAGACGCGCGUGGCCGUGCGCGCGCCCGCGCAG
rnacentral:misc_RNA from 1 species